CAUUGGGUUAGUGUGAGCAUUGGGUUAGUGUGAGCAUUUCAUUGGGUUAGUGUGAGCAUUGGGUUAGUGUGAGCAUUGGGUUAGUGUGAGCAUUUCAUUGGGUUAGUGUGAGCAUUGGGUUAGUGUGAGCAUUGGGUUAGUGUGAGCAUUGGGUUAGUGUGAGCAUUGGGCUAGUGUGAGCAUUGGGUUAGUGUGAGCAUUUCAUUGGGCUAGUGUGAGCAUUUCAUUGGGCUUAUGUGAGCAUUGGGUUAGUGUGGGCAUUUCAUUGG
ensembl:lncRNA